rnacentral:rRNA from 1 species
AGCGAACGCUGGCGGCAGGCCUAACACAUGCAAGUCGAACGAACUCUUCGGAGUUAGUGGCGGACGGGUGAGUAACACGUGGGAACGUGCCUUUUGGUUCGGAAUAACUCAGGGAAACUUGUGCUAAUACCGAAUGUGCCCUUCGGGGGAAAGAUUUAUCGCCAUUAGAGCGGCCCGCGUCUGAUUAGCUAGUUGGUGAGGUAACGGCUCACCAAGGCGACGAUCAGUAGCUGGUCUGAGAGGAUGACCAGCCACACUGGGACUGAGACACGGCCCAGACUCCUGCGGGAGGCAGCAGUGGGGAAUCUUGCGCAAUGGGCGAAAGCCUGACGCAGCCAUGCCGCGUGAAUGAUGAAGGUCUUAGGAUUGUAAAAUUCUUUCACCGGGGACGAUAAUGACGGUACCCGGAGAAGAAGCCCCGGCUAACUUCGG